GGUCAAGUUAUUAAGGGUGCAGGGCGGAUGCCUUGGCACUAGGAGCCGAUGAAGGACGUGAUAAGCUGCGAUAAGCUUCGGGGAGUUGCACGUAAACUUUGAUCCGAAGAUUUCCGAAUGAGGAAACUCACUUAGAGUAAUGUCUAAGUAUCAUUAAGUGAAUACAUAGCUUAAUGAGGGGAACUCAGGGAACUGAAACAUCUAAGUACCUGAAGGAAGAGAAAGAAAUUCGAUUCCGUAAGUAGCGGCGAGCGAACGCGGAUUAGCCCAAACCAAUAAAGUUUUCUUUAUUGGGGUUGCGGACAUAUCAUAACGAAGAGGUAUCGUAAUUGAAGAGGUUUGGAAAGACCCACCACAGAAGGUAAUAGUCCUGUAUGUUAAACGAGAAGACUUCAGAUAUGAUCCAGAGUACCACGGGACACGUGAAACCCUGUGGGAAGCAGGAGGGACCACCCUCCAAGGCUAAAUACUACCUAGUGACCGAUAGCGUAUAGUACCGUGAGGGAAAGGUGAAAAGAACCCCGGG
rnacentral:rRNA from 1 species